GGGGCCGUGGUCUAGCUUGGCAGGAUGAGGGCUUCGGGAGCCCUUGGCCAGGGUUCAAAUCCCUGCGGCCCCACCA
rnacentral:tRNA from 1 species